ACACUGGUGGUUCACUGAACACAGUUUAAGAGGAAAAACCAAAUUUGCCCAGUGUCUGGGACAUGUGGUGGAAGAGAAACUAUGAGAAGAAGGUUUUCCUAUUUUACAAAGACUGCAAUCUCUGAAACCAUCCAGAAGAGACUUUUCUUAAGUUGCAAGAUUGUAAAAAUAUACUGUCUUAGUAUCCAAUAACAAGGUAAUACAUUUGUCUGGAUGCUGGGUUUCUUGUAAAGUUUUGGAUGAACAUGAAAGACAACCCAAAGUUACAUUGCAUUCCACUCCAUCCAUGAAUCUGAGGAGCACUGCGCAAGUGUUGGCAGCUGCCAAUUCUGCCCUUAGUCCUCAUCUGUCCCAUCCUGAAGUUGAAGAGAAACAUGCCACAUGUUUCCAUUUA